rnacentral:rRNA from 1 species
CAGCCGCCGCGGGAAUACAGAGGGUGCGAGCGUUAAUCGGAUUUACUGGGCGUAAAGCGUGCGUAGGCGGCUUUUUAAGUCGGAUGUGAAAUCCCUGAGCUUAACUUAGGAAUUGCAUUCGAUACUGGGAAGCUAGAGUAUGGGAGAGGAUGGUAGAAUUCCAGGUGUAGCGGUGAAAUGCGUAGAGAUCUGGAGGAAUACCGAUGGCGAAGGCAGCCAUCUGGCCUAAUACUGACGCUGAGGUACGAAAGCAUGGGGAGCAAACAGGAUUAGAUACCCCGGUAGUCCCUGUCUCUUAUAC